rnacentral:hammerhead_ribozyme from 1 species
AUCCAACUGACGAGUCCGAAACAGGACACAAUGCGCGUCCUGAAU